rnacentral:rRNA from 1 species
UACGAAGGGGGCUAGCGUUGCUCGGAAUCACUGGGCGUAAAGGGCGCGUAGGCGGCACUGUUAGUCAGGCGUGAAAUUCCUGGGCUCAACCUGGGGACUGCGCUUGAUACGGCAGAGCUUGAGGAUGGAAGAGGGUCGCGGAAUUCCCAGUGUAGAGGUGAAAUUCGUAGAUAUUGGGAAGAACACCGGUGGCGAAGGCGGCGACCUGGUCCAUUACUGACGCUGAGGCGCGACAGCGUGGGGAGCAAACAGG